AGCGUAGACGGAUGGACAAGUCUGAUGUGAAAGGCUGGGGCUCAACCCCGGGACUGCAUUGGAAACUGCCCGUCUUGAGUGCCGGAGAGGUAAGCGGAAUUCCUAGUGUAGCGGUGAAAUGCGUAGAUAUUAGGAGGAACACCAGUGGCGAAGGCGGCUCACUGGACUGUAACUGACACUGAGGCUCGAAAGACGUGGGGAGGCAAACA
rnacentral:rRNA from 1 species